rnacentral:rRNA from 1 species
ACUACGGGUGGCAGCAGUGGGGAAUAUUGCACAAUGGGGGAAACCCUGAUGCCUCUCCUCCGCUUUCUUUCCUCCUUCUUUCUUUCUUUCCCUCUCUCUCAUCAUUGAAGAAAAUGACGGUACCUGAUUAAGAAGCCCCGGCUAACUACGUGCCAGCAGCCGCGGUAAUACGUAGGGGGCAAGCGUUAUCCGGAUUUACUGGGUGUAAAGGGAGCGUAGACGGCAGUACAAGUCUGGAGUGAAAUGCCGGGGCUUAACCCCGGAACUGCUUUGGAAACUGUGCAGCUAGAGUGCAGGAGAGGUAAGUGGAAUUCCUAGUGUAGCGGUGAAAUGCGUAGAUAUUAGGAGGAACACCAGUGGCGAAGGCGGCUUACUGGACUGUAACUGACGUUGAGGCUCGAAAGCGUGGGGAGCAAACAGGAUUAGAUACCCGAGUAGUC